rnacentral:lncRNA from 1 species
GGCCACUGAGGCCUCCCCGUUCACCUCCCAGAGGCUGCCACUUUCUUCAGGGCUAGCAGAUGAAGGCAGCAAGGAAAACACCACCACAAGACCGACUUUAGGCUGGAGCUGAUGAUGCCACACGGAAAAUAGACUCAGAAAUGAAACUCAACUAAAGGUAAAAGAUGUCUGGAACAUCUCCAAGAAAGCCAGAGUCAGCCUCUAAACUUUGCAUCAAGAAUGGCAAUGGCUUCCCUGAGGGCCCAGGGACGCUUGGCAGCUGUGAGGGAUCCCCUUCUCUGCUAUCAAGGAACUGGACACUUCUCCUGUCCCUUCCCACAAGGGGCUUCCUGGAGCUCCUGCAACCCCAGGCAUUAGUUCCAGUGCAGUUCUAGGAUCAGAUCAAUUCACUCGACAACAAGAGAAACAAAUGGAGAUUCCUACACAAAGACUUUCAAGCACAAAGAAAUCCUGCUGCCUAUAAAGCAGAGCUGCCUCAGCUCUUGAUGAACGACAGAAAAUACCACCUACUGCCAGACCUCUUCGCCUCACAAAACUCUCACCCACCUACUGCUUUUAGCUCAAAUUCCAGGAAUUCAGAUGAAGUGAAGUGCUCUCAUGGGGACCAGGCGUGGGUAUGCCAGUCCACUGCCCUGCAAGUCUCAAGGGAAACCAACUGCCCAUCAGCAAGUCACACCUGCCUUGGUGGAGGCAUUGAUUGGAAGGGCCACAGGCUACAUGUCCAGUCCUGAGUGGGAGAAUCGGUGUAGGGAUGUUCUGGGGAUGCUGGCUGUGGCUAGAUCAGGUCCAGCUACAGAAGAAUAAUGAAGACUUCACCUGAGGGCUGGAAAAACAAAACCUCAAGUGUGAGGCAGCCAACCUAUUACCUCGAGGGACUGUCCCGCAGCACAGCAGGGCCAUGGGAACAGCAGCAGACACCCCGGCCUCCUCACUACCUGUGUGUGUAUUAGACACCCAGCCUCCUCACUACCUGUGUAUUAGACACCCCGGCCUUCUCACUACCUGUGUGUGUAUUA